rnacentral:rRNA from 1 species
UGAGGAAUAUUGGUCAAUGGGCGCAAGCCUGAACCAGCCAAGUAGCGUGAGGGAAGACUGCCCUAUGGGUUGUAAACCUCUUUUAUAAGGGAAUAAAGUGUAGGACGUGUCCUAUUUUGUAUGUACCUUAUGAAUAAGGAUCGGCUAACUCCGUGCCAGCAGCCGCGGUAAUACGGAGGAUCCGAGCGUUAUCCGGAUUUAUUGGGUUUAAAGGGUGCGUAGGCGGCCUUUUAAGUCAGCGGUGAAAGUCUGUGGCUCAACCAUAGAAUUGCCGUUGAAACUGGGGGGCUUGAGUAUGUUUGAGGCAGGCGGAAUGCGUGGUGUAGCGGUGAAAUGCAUAGAUAUCACGCAGAACCCCGAUUGCGAAGGCAGCCUGCCAAGCCAUGACUGACGCUGAUGCACGAAAGCGUGGGGAUCAAACAGGAUUAGAUACCCUGGUAGUCCACGCAGUAAACGAUGAUCACUAGCUGUUUGCGAUACAGUGUAAGCGGCACAGCGAAAGCGUUAAGUGAUCCACCUGGGGAGUACGCCGGCAACGGUGAAACUCAAAGGAAUUGACGGGGGCCCGCACAAGCGGAGGAACAUGUGGUUUAAUUCGAUGAUACGCGAGGAACCUUACCCGGGUUUGAACGCAUUCGGACCGAGGUGGAAACACCUUUUCUAGCAAUAGCCGUUUGCGAGGUGCUGCAUGGUUGUCGUCAGCUCGUGCCGUGAGGUGUCGGCUUAAGUGCCAUAACGAGCGCAACCCUUGCCACUAGUUACUAACAGGUAAAGCUGAGGACUCUGGUGGGACUGCCAGCGUAAGCUGCGAGGAAGGCGGGGAUGACGUCAAAUCAGCACGGCCCUUACAUCCGGGGCGACACACGUGUUACAAUGGCGUGGACAAAGGGAAGCCACCUGGCGACAGGGAGCGAAUCCCCAAACCACGUCUCAGUUCGGAUCGGAGUCUGCAACCCGACUCCGUGAAGCUGGAUUCGCUAGUAAUCGCGCAUCAGCCAUGGCGCGGUGAAUACGUUCCC